AGUCAACCUGUCAGUCAACAGGCAGAGGGCUGCAUUCCUUCGUUCGUAUGUUCCUUGGUUCAUUCAUUCAGAGACCUCCGAAGUGUUUCUUGAGGAAAUGUGGCUGCAGACCCUAGAAGAAGCUACACAGCACUUGCCAGGGCUGGGAUGAUGUCCAGGCCAUGGAAACACCGUGUACCUGGUCCCAGGAAGAUGAAGUGUGGGCCCAGAGACUAAUGGCUUGAGCAUCUCAGGCUAAGGUUGCCGAGAAGUAGACAGCACCUCUAGAUCCUAGUCAACAUCUCUACAGGCUUGAAGUCUCCCCAGAGGGCAAGGUUGGAAUAAAUCUGAAGCCUGUGGCUUGCCUGGGAGCUG
rnacentral:lncRNA from 1 species